GACGAACGCUGGCGGCGUGCUUAACACAUGCAAGUCGAACGGAAAGGCCCUUCGGGGUACUCGAGUGGCGAACGGGUGAGUAACACGUGGGUGAUCUGCCCUGCACUUUGGGAUAAGCCUGGGAAACUGGGUCUAAUACCGAAUAGGACCGCGCGCUUCAUGGUGUGUGGUGGAAAGCUUUUGCGGUGUGGGAUGGGCCCGCGGCCUAUCAGCUUGUUGGUGGGGUAAUGGCCUACGAAGGCGACGACGGGUAGCCGGCCUGAGAGGGUGACCGGCCACACUGGGACUGAGAGACGGCCCAGACUCCUACGGGAGGCAGCAGUGGGGAAUAUUGCACAAUGGGCGCAAGCCUGAUGCAGCGACGCCGCGUGUGGGAUGACGGCCUUCGGGUUGUAAACCUCUUUCACCAGGGACGAAGCGCAAGUGACGGUACCUGGAGAAGAAGCACCGGCCAACUACGUG
rnacentral:rRNA from 1 species